rnacentral:lncRNA from 1 species
CAUCAAGCUGUUCGCAACCUCAAAAUAAUAGGGGUCAAGGUCGGCCAGUGAGACGAUGGGGGAUAAGCUUCAUCGUCGAGAGGGAAAGAGCCCGGAUCACCAGCUAAGGCCCUAAAUGACCGCUCAGUGAUAAAGGAGGUAGGGGUGCAGAGACAGCCAUGAGGUUUGCCUAGAAGCAACCACACUUGAAAGAGUGCGUAAUAGCUCACUGAUCGAGCGCUCUUGUGCCGAAGGAAAUGCGUAAUAGCCAGGAGGUUUGCCUAGAAGCAACCACACUUGAAAGGUUUGCCUAGAUG